rnacentral:rRNA from 1 species
AGAGUUUGAUCCUGGCUCAGAACGAACGCUGGCGGCGUGGAUUAGGCAUGCAAGUCGAACGCGAAAGAGGGAGCAAUCCUUCGAGUAGAGUGGCGAACGGGUGAGUAACGCGUGAGAAACCUGCCUUCAUCAGGGGGAUAACACUCCCAACGGAGUGCUAAUACCGCAUGAGACCACGGGAUCGCAUGGUCCUGAGGUCAAAGGUGGCCUCUAUUUAUAAGCUACCGGAUGGAGAUGGUCUCGCGUCCCAUUAGCUAGUUGGCGGGGUAACGGCCCACCAAGGCGACGAUGGGUAGCUGGUCUGAGAGGAUGGUCAGCCACACUGGGACUGAGAUACGGCCCAGACUCCUACGGGAGGCAGCAGUCGAGAGGCUUCGGCAAUGGGGGAAACCCUGACCGAGCGACGCCGCGUGGGGGAUGAAGGCCCUUGGGUUGUAAACCCCUUUUGUUCGGGAAGAAAUGCGAUCAGGUGAACAAUCUGGUCGUUUGACGGUACCGGACGAAUAAGCUCCGGCUAACUCCGUGCCAGCAGCCGCGGUA